GUAUUUCUUUUUAUCUUCCUCAUAUUUUUACUCUUUUCGUUUGUGAAUCACUUCGGUUUUAGAUAUGAAAUUACUGAAGGAUUGGAUUUUGUAGUUGCAAGUCCAACUUGGUUUUAGAUCAUCAGCCAUGCCUGGUUGUUUCAAUGUUCAAGAGAGUUUGCAAGAUCUGGAGCAAUCAGUGGACUCUACUCAGUUUCACAGCACGUUGACAAAGCAUCUCCACAAUAAGCAGCAAUCUAGAUAGCAAGAACACUGGCACCUGUGAAUUUCUUUCACAAUAAAGCUAAAUGUAACUUCUUGUUUGCUUGCCUUCAAAUGUAAAAAAGCUUGAUGUCUUGUAUGUUCAUGUGCAUCUUUUCUUCGGUUCUGCAUUUUUCUCAUGUAACUCCGGUGAAAUUUCCUCCCAUUGAGACUUUGUCUUGAUGAUGAGGAUAGACGAUUCUUUGUUUUCUUUUAAUUCAAGUGUAAAUUACAGUUUCAUCUCUUAGAGUUGAUUUUAUCGCAAUCAACACAGAUUCUUUUGUUGAUAA